rnacentral:sRNA from 1 species
GUGUUUUAAAACUGACACCAAAGAAUUUGUGAGAGAGAUUAAGCAUUCAUCAUUUGGAAGAAAUGUAUUUGCAAUUUCAUAUAUACCAGGCUUGCUCUUUGCAGUGAAUGGGAAGCCUCAUUUUGGGGACCAAGAACCUGUACAAGGAUUUGUGAUGAACUUUUCCAAUGGGGAAAUUAUAGACAUCUUCAAGCCAGUGCGCAAGCACUUUGAUAUGCCUCAUGAUAUUGUUGCAUCUGAAGAUGGGACUGUGUACAUUGGAGAUGCUCAUACCAACACUGUGUGGAAGUUCACCUUGACUGAGAAAAUGGAACAUCGAUCAGUUAAAAAGGCUGGCAUUGAGGUCCAGGAAAUCAAAGCCGAGGCAGUUGUUGAAACCAAAAUGGAGAACAAACCCACCUCCUCAGAAUUGCAGAAGAUGCAAGAGAAACAGAAACUGAUCAAAGAGCCAGGCUCGGGAGUGCCUGUUGUUCUCAUUACAACCCUUCUGGUUAUUCCGGUGGUUGUCCUGCUGGCCAUUGCCAUAUUUAUUCGGUGGAAAAAAUCAAGGGCCUUUGGAGCAGAUUCUGAACACAAACUCGAGACAAGUUCAGGAAGAGUACUGGGAAGAUUUAGAGGAAAGGGAAGUGGAGGCUUAAACCUUGGUAAUUUCUUUGCAAGCCGUAAGGGCUACAGUCGAAAAGGGUUUGACCGGCUUAGCACCGAGGGCAGUGACCAAGAGAAAGAGGAUGAUGGAAGUGAAUCAGAAGAGGAGUAUUCAGCACCUCUGCCUGCACUCGCACCUUCCUCCUCCUGAAAACCAAGCUUUGAUUUAGAUUAAGAUUUACCCAGAAUGUCAGAUUCCUUUCCCUUUAGCACGUUUAAAGUUCUGUGUAUUUAAUUGUAAACUGUACUAGUCUAUGUGGGACUUUACACACUU